GACGAACGCUGGCGGCGUGCUUAACACAUGCAAGUCGAACGAUGAACCCGGAGCUUGCUCCGGUGGAUUAGUGGCGAACGGGUGAGUAACACGUGAGUAACCUGCUCUUGACUCUGGGAUAACUGCGGGAAACUGUAGCUAAUACCGGAUACGACCCUCGGCGGCAUCGCCAGGGGGUGGAAAGAAUUUCGGUCAAGGAUGGACUCGCGGCCUAUCAGCUAGUUGGUGGGGUAACGGCUCACCAAGGCGACGACGGGUAGGCGGCCUGAGAGGGGGACCGGCCACACUGGGACUGAGACGCGGCCCGGACUCCAACGGGAGGCAGCAGUGGGGAAUAUUGGACAAUGGGCGCAAGCCUGAUGCAGCAACGCCGCGUGGGGGAUGACGGCCUUCGGGUUGUAAACCUCUUUUAGUAGGGAAGAAGCGAAAGUGACGGUACCUGCAGAAAAAGCACCGGCUAACUACGUGCCAGCAGCCGCCGUAA
rnacentral:rRNA from 1 species